GGAAGGGCGUGCAGGGGACUUGAAGGGGGUGCGGCGGGCGUGGAGAGGGGAGUGCCAGCAAGCCAGCCCCACGUUCCGAAGCAAAAGACAGAGGCAGGUUUGGGGGAAUGAAGCGCCUGCGCCCGACCACAGGCAGGUGUCUCGAUUACUUCUCUAUUGACCUGCUUAGGUGAACACGGGAAACCUGAGGCAAGAGGUCUGGGGCUCCUUCAAGCCAGCGGGGGAUUUACAGCUUCCUGGUUCUCUCAAGUCCGCGAUGUGAAAGAACAGCUCGGCACACUUGGAAUCUAGUUCCGUGAAUGUGACAGUGAAGUCGGGCAGACAGCAGGCAUGACGGCUUCACCUGCUACCUUUGCACUCUUUGAACUGGAUUGCUUGAUGCUCAGUGUAGACCCAACACCAGGGCCGUGGAAAGCACGCCCUCUGGGAACCCGCCACCGCUGGCUGGACCGCGCGGCAGGGACGGGAGCUGCGUGCACAGACUUACACUGAUGCAGACCCAGCCACUGGUCUCACUACAGUUACUGUGUCACCCAGCUGGGAAGGCGGAGGGCAGGACCCCGCACGUGUGUGCCGUGGCUUCGAAGACGUGGAAUGGAUCAAAGUCCUCAACCACCGUGGAAGAGAGGUGCUGUCAACCCUGGGGCGGGAGGCCCGGAGCAGACAGUGAUCUCAAAUGUGGAGGUGGGGACUGAAAUAAUCAGCGGGCACUGACGAAGGAGGCUGCCCUGGGAAACAGGAAAUGGGGGCAGCGAGCAGGGACGGGAACCCCGCUGUCUCCUGUAGAGCGAAUGGUCGGUCCUUUCAGACUGUGGGCAUGUGAGACUCUGAUCAUAUGACAACUAAGUGGAAAAAAUUAACCAUAAGAGGUGGCCUGGACCCUUGCCCCUAGUUCCUCCAGGUCCUAGAGCUAAUUAUCUUCUCUGGCUUUCUGCUGGCAAGAGUGAUUCCCAGGUGUGGCGACCUCUCAAUGCCCCCGGGGCACUGGCCGUUCUCGGGUCCCCGGCACUUCUCUGCCCUCUGAGCCGUGCGUGGGUGAUUCCUAAUUGUUCAGGGUAAGGAGGCCGAGCCUUCUGAAAGGUGCAGAAGGCCUCUGAGACACACCUCCGUGUCCACUUCAGGGGCUCUCCAGGAGGUCUCACUUUGAUAAGAGGAGUUCCCUGUACUGUGACGGGGAACUGUCCCACCACAGGUGUCCCCUUCUGUGUCUCACUCUCUCUAAGCUGUGACCAAUGGGCCCAGCCGCCAUCCGUCCACUGGGCAUUGAGGGGACCAGCGAGGCCCCUUUGAUGAUCCCCGUCUGCCUGGUGGGCCCACGAGGCUCGGAAAGACAAUGCUUCACUGAAGAAAUUCAAGAGUGGCUCUUCUCUGAAUUCAUUCUGAACGACGUCAAGUCCCCUUAAGUCCAGCCAUCAACCCGGGAAACACGUUUCCAUGAGAGAUUAUGGAGACACUGCAUUUGGCUGACCCCUUUAUUUCAUUUGACGAGUCCUAACCAUUUCAGCGUCCCCAGGACUAGGUGCGGGGCCUGACACGCAGCAGGUGCUCUAGAAAUGUUUGUGAAGGAAGCACGGGCAGCACAAAGUGGCUUAUUUCUCAUUAUCUCCUUCUAAGAAAGGUGACAUCUGAGAAAUGACUUCCGGCUGAGACCUGUUAACAAGCGCGCAUCCAGUCCCGCACCGGACACUAGGAACGGAGGAUAAAGCGCAUUU